CCUACGGGAGGCAGCAGUGAGGAAUAUUGGUCAAUGGACGGAAGUCUGAACCAGCCAUGCCGCGUGCAGGAAGACGGCUCUAUGAGUUGUAAACUGCUUUUGUACAAGGGUAAACCUGAAUACGUGUAUUCAGCUGAAAGUACUGUACGAAUAAGGAUCGGCUAACUCCGUGCCAGCAGCCGCGGUAAUACGGAGGAUCCAAGCGUUAUCCGGAUUUAUUGGGUUUAAAGGGUGCGUAGGCGGAUUGAUAAGUUAGAGGUGAAAUGUCCGAGCUUAACUCGGGAACUGCCUCUAAUACUGUUGAUCUAGAGAGUAGAUGCGGUAGGCGGAAUGUAUGGGGUAGCGGGGAAAUGCUUAGAGAUCAUACAGAACACCGAUUGCGAAGGCAGCUUACCAAUCUAUAUCUGACGUUGAGGCACGAAAGCGUGGGGAGCAAACAGGAUUAGAUACCCGAGUAGUC
rnacentral:rRNA from 1 species